GAGGGUAUAGCUCAGGGGUAGAGUGCAGGCUUAGCAUGCACGAGGUCCUGGGUUCAAUCCUCAGUACUUCCA
rnacentral:tRNA from 1 species